GAUGAAGAACGUAGCGAAAUGCGAUACGUAGUGUGAAUUGCAGAAUUCAGUGAAUCAUCGAAUCUUUGAACGCACAUUGCACCUCUCGGUAUUCCGGGAGGUAUGCCUGUUCGAGCGUCAUUUGUACCCUCAAGCUCUGCUUGGUGUUGGGUGUUUGUUCCGCCUCUGUGUGUGAACUCGCCUCAAAACAAUCGGCAGCCGGCGUACUUGUUUCGGAGCGCAGCACAUUUUGCGAUCCAGAUCAACGUACAGCGGCAUCCAAGAAGCCUUAUUUAACGCUCUUGACCUCGGAUCAGGUAGGGAUACCCGCUGAACUUAAGCAUAUCAAUAAGCGGAGGA
rnacentral:misc_RNA from 1 species